rnacentral:lncRNA from 1 species
CCCGACUUCUAAAUGCUGCAUGUUUGUCUAAAAUGUACAACGUACCACUUGUUUGAGGCACAAAAUGCUAGAUAAAAAAAAAACAAUUAACAAAAUGUAUAUAAAAUAAGAUUUUUCGUUUCUGUAAAUAAAAAGUAAUAUAACAAAAAUACCGAAUUUCUUGGAAAAUUCGAAACGGAAGGUCCGUGAUCAAAUGGCCUGCUAUAUGGCUCAAACACUUCAAACGAAUGAUUAACAACUGUCAUAUUCCUGAUUUGGUACUGGCGUUUUCUUAUGUAAAACAUGGUGGCUUACACCUGGUUUUAUAGCUAGCUAAACCUCUCACUUGUAUGACAGUCGCAUCAAAUUCCAUUAUAUUGACAACGAUGUAUGAACAAAACAGACAGACAUAGAAAUGUCAAAAAUAGUGGUACAGCAGUCAACAUUAUGUUAUAAUCUUGAUCACUAUAAAAACAAACAAAUAUGUAACAAAAAAAUCAUAAAAAGGCAUAUAGACAAAGCACAUAAGCAAAAAUUAAAGACAAACAUUAACCCAAUGACGGGAUGUAUAAGUACAUAUCCACGUUAUAUGUAUCCAAAAAACACAAAAAGGUAGAUGGACAAAGCACAUUAGCGUACAUGAAAAGACAAGAAGACACACAUUUUACAAUAGGUCAAUAACACA